GAUGAACGCUGGCGGCGUGCCUAAUACAUGCAAGUCGAGCGAACGGACGAGAAGCUUGCUUCUCUGAUGUUAGCGGCGGACGGGUGAGUAACACGUGGAUAACCGACCUAUAAGACUGGGAUAACUUCGGGAAACCGGAGCUAAUACCGGAUAAUAUUUUGAACCGCAUGGUUCAAAAGUGAAAGACGGUCUUGCUGUCACUUAUAGAUGGAUCCGCGCUGCAUUAGCUAGUUGGUAAGGUAACGGCUUACCAAGGCAACGAUGCAUAGCCGACCUGAGAGGGUGAUCGGCCACACUGGAACUGAGACACGGUCCAGACUCCUACGGGAGGAAGCAGUAGGGAAUCUUCCGCAAUGGGCGAAAGCCUGACGGAGCAACGCCGCGUGAGUGAUGAAGGUCUUCGGAUCGUAAAACUCUGUUAUUAGGGAAGAACAUAUGUGUAAGUAACUGUGCACAUCUUGACGGUACCUAAUCAGAAAGCCACGGCUAACUACGUG
rnacentral:rRNA from 1 species